rnacentral:rRNA from 1 species
UACGUAGGGGGCAAGCGUUGUCCGGAUUUAUUGGGCGUAAAGCGCGUGUAGGCGGCCCGGUAAGUCCGCUGUGAAAGUCGGGGGCUCAACCCUCGGAUGCCGGUGGAUACUGUCGGGCUUGAGUACGGAAGAGGCGAGUGGAAUUCCUGGUGUAGCGGUGAAAUGCGCAGAUAUCAGGAGGAACACCGAUUGCGAAGGCAGCUCGCUGGGACGUUACUGACGCUGAGACGCGAAAGCGUAGGGAGCAAACAGG